AGCAGCCGCGGUAAUUCCAGCUCCAAUAGCGUAUAUUAAAGUUGCUGCAGUUAAAAAGCUCGUAGUUGAAUUUCGGGACCAUCAUGUCGGUCGUGCCUCGGUACGUACUGGCAUUGUUGGUUUCUACCUUCUGACGAACCAUGAUGUCAUUUAUUUGGUGUCGUGGGAAAUCAGGACUGUUACUUUGAAAAAUUAGAGUGUUUAAAGCAGGCUCACGCUUGAAUACAUUAGCAUGGAAUAAUGAAAUAGGACGUUUGAUUCUAUUUUGUUGGUUUCUAGGAUCGACGUAAUGAUUAAUAGGGAUAGUUGGGGGCAUUAGUAUUCAAUUGUCAGAGGUGAAAUUCUUGGAUUUAUUGAAGACUAACUACUGCGAAAGCAUUUGCCAAGGAUGUUUUCAUUAAUCAAGAACGAAAGUUAGGGGAUCGAAGACGAUCAGAUACCGUCGUAGUCUUAACCAUAAACUAUGCCGACUAGGGAUCGGAUGAUGUAAUUUUUAAUGA
rnacentral:rRNA from 1 species